GACGAACGCUGGCGGCGUGCCUAAUACAUGCAAGUCGAGCGGGGAUUAUGCUUGAUCGCUUCGGUGAGACGGCAUAUAUCCUAGCGGCGGACGGGUGAGUAACACGUGAGCAAUCUGCCCUUGACUCUGGGAUAACAGUUGGAAACAGCUGCUAAUACCGGAUACGAGACGUGACCGCAUGGUCAACGUCUGGAAAGAACUUCGGUCAAGGAUGAGCUCACGGCCUAUCAGCUAGUUGGUGAGGUAAUGGCUCACCAAGGCGACGACGGGUAGCCGGCCUGAGAGGGUGACCGGCCACACUGGGACUGAGACACGGCCCAGACUCCUACGGGAGGCAGGCAGUGGGGAAUAUGCACAAUGGGCGAAAGCCUGAUGCAGCAACGCCGCGUGAGGGACGACGGGCCUUCGGGUUCGGUUAACCGUACUUUUAGUCGUAAGGAAGGAAGACGGAAAGUAGACGGUACGUUGCAAGAAAAGACGACCGGCGUAACUACGUAGCCGAGACG
rnacentral:rRNA from 1 species